rnacentral:lncRNA from 1 species
UCAAUUCAAAGCAUAAUUUAUUUACUUGUAGUUAUAGUUUGAUAAAAGUUAUAGAAACAGAUAGAACCCUCCUUGGCAUAUAUUUAUAGACUUGCUGAAAAUCAAAUUUAUUGAUCAAUACAAACUUAAGUGAUUCCACUUAUCACUUUAUUUUGGGACAACAUACACAUAAUGUUGUUUCUUAAAGAGCUGUAAGGCUUAACUAAACAUAAAGCUCAAUAAGUGAUCUAAAACCGAAUAUGGGAAAGAUUUUAUAGUGUGUGAACCCUGAUUUUGUGAAGAUUUGUUUCCAGGUUUUUCCAUCUCUUUCUCUUCCAUUAAAACUAGCCAUCAUAACUAUGUCAAAGAAGAGCUUGACUUCUGUCAUUUCAUGCUUAUCUUGCUUUUCAUUUAUAACAAUAUCUAUUAUGAUCACUUUUCCUCCUUUGCCUUUUCUUAAUACAGCUUCUUUGCAUUUUUGGAGUAUCUUGACACAGUCAUCAUCACUCCAGUCAUGCAAAAUCCACUACAAGUGAAACAAAAUAAAAGUCUGUUAGAGAGACUCAAUGUGUAGUUUUUUUGUGUAUCAAUUAUUAUAUCAAGUAAUUAAUCUAAUGAGUAAUGUCACAACAAUAAUAUUCUUAGUUAGAUGGCAGAAAGCAAGUAAUUUGAUAGACUAGUCAUUUCCUAAUUUUGCAUACCUUGAGUAAAACUGCAUCAGCUUGAGGGAUAGAUUCAAACAUGUUUCCGCCAAGAAAACUCAAAUUUUCAUUUCCUGAUAAGCCUGCCACAACUUGUGGAAGGUCUAACACUGUGCAUUUUAACAUAGGAAAUUUCUCGCAAAUAAUUUUAGCUGUGUUUCCAGUUCCACCUCCGACAUCAACCAGAGAACCGAAGCCUUCAAAAACUGAUUUGCAAUCACUCAGUGCCAAUCUCAUCACAUGAGAAUCACUUUCCAUAGCCUCGUUGAAGGACUUCAAAUGUGUGGGAUUCUGAUGCAUAAAAUCCCAAUAGUCACCUUUGCUGGAUGCAGCCUCAAAGAUUGUGAGCUCAUCCCCAGAAGUCCAUUUACCCAAAUGAUUAUACAAAUCAACAAGAUUUGGAUUUGUUAUCAGCUGAACCAUUGAAGAUAAACAAUGGUCAGUGCCUUUGACAAGCAGCUCUGNNNNNNNNNNNNNNNNNNNNNNNNNNNNNNNNNNNNNNNNNNNNNNNNNNNNNNNNNNNNNNNNNNNNNNNNNNNNNNNNNNNNNNNNNNNNNNNNNNNNNNNNNNNNNNNNNNNNNNNNNNNNNNNNNNNNNNNNNNNNNNNNNNNNNNNNNNUUUGAGUUUGUGUGGUUUAUGGAGUGGUUAAGUUUGCUUGAUAGUUGUGAUUUGUGAAUGUUAUGUUUUCACUUGGUAAGUUUAGUAUGCUUUUAUAAGCAUCAAUGGACACUACAAACUGAAUAAAAUAUUUAUCUUUUGUUUUGACUACAGUGUACACGUACGUGUGAAAUCUGUGCGCAUUUUCUCUGCAUUUGUUUGACUGUUUACUUAAGUUUUCCCUCAUGUCUGUUGAAGUUUAUUUAUUUAUUAUUUAUUUAGGUUGUUAAAGUUUAUUUAUUUAGGUUUAAUUGCAUAAAUAUUAAAUACAAUUUUGUCUCGCUACAAGCUAACCAUUUUAAACCAAUUUUUUUUUGUCUCACUUCUUAUUCUUUAUAAUUGAUUUUAGCCCUCUUGUUUUUCCAUUUGCUAGUCCACUUUAAAUGUAAGUCAAUUAGACAUCAUUUAAUAUAAAGUUAAAUUAGCAACGUGAUUUUUAUUGAAAAUUAAACUUGCAAAAUAUUUGUACAUUCUUAUAAGUCCAUUGACUUCUGUUUGAUAUUUAAAUUCUUUAUUAUAUUAAGGUAAAAUAAUUAUUUAGAAUAAAAUAUUUAAAAACUUGUUAUAAAAUAUUAUUAAAACUUAUUAAAUCAAUAUAUUUGUUUUAUUAAGAUUAUUUUCUCAUGUAUGUUUUCAAAUAUAUUAUAAUUAAAAUGUUCUAAUUAUUCGAUUUUUUAUUUAAAUUUUUUUUUAAACUAAGUAAUUUUUUUUUUUUACUGAAUUAAGAUCAUCCUGACAUUAGGGAGUAACUAAGUAAACCAACGAAGUUGGCAUCCCUAAUCACUCCCCUCCUCUGCCCAUAGCUCAUAUAUAAAUAAAUAAAGGAAAAAAUAUAUAUACAAGGGGGGGACUAGGCCUAACCCCGAAGAACAUGUGAAACAACCUACAUAAAACGAGAACAGGGAGAUUCUAAAAUGUCCCUCAAAGACUCAUCUAUCAUGUAGUGGAAGCCAAACACCCACCACAUUAAGGACUUAUCUUUCAUAUCUCCAAACUCAGUGUACCGACACCUCAUACCGGCGGGGCACNNNNNNNNNNNNNNNNNNNNNNNNUUGGACCGGGUUUGGUAAUGUUGAUAGGCGUUGUUGGCUAAUCUGUUGUUUUUCUUUUUCCGUUGCUUCGAUACAACUGUUGUGAACUCUUGCUCUUGUGCUUGCUCUCCCUUGUCUGCCCACGCUUGCCGUAUGAGUUGUAUAUCUCUUUGUACUACUAAAGGAAGAGCACAACCUUGUGUAUCCCGAAAGAUAUUGUCCACGCUAGUGUCAGGAUCAGUGCGCUUACUAGCAGAAGAUUGAUUGCUUACUAAGUAAAUUUAACUUAGUACUAAUUAGUGAUAAUUAUUUGCUCAAAAAAAAAAACUAGUGAUAAAUAUAUAUUUGCAAAAUUACAAGCAUGCCAUACUUCACACCAAUGUUACUUUUUUUUCGCAUCAUAUUGCUAGAGGCUUCUACACCUGAGUUAGGAAAAGUUUAUAUAGUUUGAUGAAAUAAGAUACUGUAAACGAUAACGAGUUGCUACAUGUGUUGACGUGAUAUAAAUUAUUGUUCACGUUAUGUGAUAUGUGAGUCACUUGUCAUAUGUUCGUUGACUUGAGUCAGUAGAUAAAAUCGUAUAUUUGUGAAAGUUAUGAGACAAAAAAUAUUAUUAUAAAAAUUAAGAGGCAAAAAUUACAAAUUUAUCAAAGUUAGGAUAAACAAUGCAAUUUAACUUUUUCUUUUCUAAAAAACACUUUAUUUUUUUAAAACACCUGAUGUAGGAGGAUUUCUUCUGUAUAUUAUUAUUUUAGUUAGAUUUAGUUUUAUUAUAUUUUAGGUUGAUUUCUUAUUUUUAUAUUUCACCUAGGUUAGUNNNNNNNNNNNNNNNNNNNNNNNNNNNNNNNNNNNNNNNNNNNNNNNNNNNNNNNNNNNNNCGAACUGUGACAUCCCCCGCAAAUCGAAAUCCAGACCACCAACCGUACUCGGCGGCGACACCCUCCUCCGCCAUCUUAGCUUCCCCUCGCCACUCGUACGCAAUGCUGGCCAACAGCCGUGGAGCUUCACUUUCAACGGUUUGCAUUUUCUCUGUGUUCCUAAUCCUAUUUCCCACAUUUAUUUGAUUUCUCAGGACGAAUCUCUCUUUCUGUUAUCACCAUUCUGCAUUUUUAUUAAACACUUACAAAUUAUGAUCUUGCAGGUUCACAUAAAGAAAAAAAAAUGCUUCACUUGUUUUUAGUAUUUAGUAUUUACUGAUUUAAUCUUAUGAAUAUAUGAUUAGGAGUAUAUCUUUAAUUAGGAGUUAAACAACUAUGAUAAAUAGCAUAGCUGGCUUUCUAAUUUAUAAAUCAUAUGCCGUUCUAUUUUGUUCCAUUCCGUUUUGCUCCCGUAGUUUUAAGUUAUCCAAACAGAGCCUUAAGUUAAUCGGAUACUACACACUUUACAGUACUAUUUGGCGUUUGUGCUAUUAGAUUGAAUGAUUAUGCCAUCAAAGCUCUUGCAAAUACAAUGGUUUAUUUAGUGCAUGAUUGGAUUCACGGUUAGUUUGACAAAAUCACGGUGUCACCAUGAUUUCGGUUAAUCCACCAUGAUACCAAACAUGCACUUAGUUUUUGUGUCUUCUAUAGUGAAUAAUUUGUUAAGGCACUGAGAAUUAAUACUUAUUGUGUUUAGAGUUUAGACACCAGAACAGUUAUAAAAUGUAGUUAACUAAAUGAUUUUACUGUUUAGUAUUAAAUUCAUUAUGGAGACCUUUUAAGAAUUUAGUCUAGUGCAUUAUAUAUUUGUUGAAGACCAUUGCAUUUAGUUAUAAAAAAUUCAAUAGAAAAUGAGUUCUGCAGUCACAAAACUUCUUCAGGUCUUAACAGAAAUAUUCUUAGAUAGGUUUCACUCUUUAUGCUGCUUAAUCUUAUCAUGAUAGUACUUUAAUACUACUAAAUGAACUUGAUAACAUAGACAAAUGUACAUUAUUUUUCAUUAGCAAGUACAAUAACAAGUUUAGAUUGAUAUCAAUUUAUUACAUCAGGUAAUGGUAGUUUGGUGAAUAUCCCUUAGGAAAACCGUAUAUGGCAGAAGUAUAAACAAUCAACGGAUACUUGGUUAUUGAUUUUUAGCAAAAUGCUUGUUUCAAUUAUUAUACCCUGGUAUUUAUAUGUCUAUUUAAUGCUUUAUUAAGAAACUUGGCUCGACUCAAUUCAAAGAAUAAUUCAUUUACUUCUAGUUAUAGGUUGACAAAGCCUACAAAGAACAAACAGCUAGAUCCCUCAUGGGCCUCUAUUUUGCAUUUAAAGUUAGAUUAACCAUUAAUUUGGUUUACUUCAAUUCAUGUUGAGAAUUAGAAAUAAAGACUCAAAUUUCUUAUACUUUUGAGUUGGUAUAACUUCUAUUAUAUUUUUUUAUGUAUGAUGAUUCAAUCCAAAUGUGUGCACUAGUCAAUUAUUAGUAACCUUCCCUUUCAAAAUUUAUCCUAUGAAAAGUAAUUUUUGUUAAUAACCUAUCCAUGAACAGUAACUGAGAAAAAGCUACAAUCUCCGAAGAAACAUUCUUAUUCCAUGAUUCUUAUAAAAUUAUGUACACAUUUAUUCUCCCAAUAUUUCAUAUAAAGUUGAUUUUCAAAGGUAACUAAUCUGUUUCUCAGUGAUAAAAGUUCCAAAUGAGAUAAAUUAGUUAGAGACUUGGUUUACUGCUUUUUGAUGAACUGCUUCAUGUAAAAUGAAAGCUCUUACAACUUGUAAUAGUUAAAAGACCAAACUAAAACAAACUUCAUUUAUGGCUCUUAAAAAAUGGUAAGUAGUUAAAAUAUUUUUUUGAAUCUCAGCAAUAACAAAACAGUAAUAUGAAUUUCAAUGCAUAUGUAUGCCAAUACUGUAAUAAUAUUCAUACAUCCUCUUUUUUAUGAAUCUUUCUGUUUCUAUCUUAUGUUUUCAGAGUGGUAAAUGAUCAACACUGAAGAAUGAUGCCAUGGAAGCUCUUGUAGACACAUGUUUGACCUAUAAUGUGAUGACAGAUGAGAAGGUUGUGUUGAAAUUUCUGUUGUAGAGCUAUGUGUAUAUUCUAUUAAACAGGUAUUCUUGAUCAUCUCCAUUCAUCUUAAUCUUCAGAUAAAGAAAGUCCAUAUAAACGGAAACUGAAAGUAAUUGCUAAAAUCAAUGAUUGAUUACCACUAUCAUUUACUGAAACCAUCAACAGAUUCUUAGGUGACAUUAUUUUCUUGUAAGAUAUAGGAAAAAUAUUAUUAUUGUUUUGAGGGAUUGAGAAUUAGUAUAUUAAAUGUUUACUGAAAAUCAUAUCAUGUCUAGCUAUUUUCCUUUUUCGCCUGAUAGACACUAGCUAGAACAUUUAUUUAUAAAACUUCUAGUUAUCUUAGGCUUUGUUUGCGAGUUGGUUUUUGGAGGGGAGGACUUUUUUAAAUUAAGAACACUAUAAAAUGUUUUUUAAAAUAAUCUACGCCUAAAAUGUUUUUCAAACUAAUCUACGCCGAUUGAAGUAUUAUAUGAUCAUUUAUUACGUCUUCUUUCAAUUAUUUUAAAAUAUUAACUAUACAUCAGAAUAUAUAUAGACCUAGCCCUCCAAAAUCCAACUCACAAACAAAGCCUUAAAGUUUUUACUUUUCUUGCUUAAUAUUGUAUUUCAUUAAGCAGACCUUAUUAGAGUUUAUUGUAUCGUGUACUUACUGAAGACAUUUGCAUUUAGUGCUUAAAAAACUGACAAAAAGGUUAAUAGAAAGUGAGUUCUUCGGUCACAUACCAUCUUUUGGUCUUAAUUGAUUUUUUUUUUGAGAAGUUGAACUUUUUGUUCCGCAAAACCUUAUCAUGAUAAUACUAUUAUAUUAUUAAAUAAACUUAACAGUAUACUUUAGGCCAAAGUUCAUUCCUUUUCGUUAGCAAGUACAAUAAUAAAUUAGAUUGAUAUGAAUUUAUAACACAUCAGAUAAUGGCAUAUCUAUAAAAGCUCAAUGGAUACAUGGUUCAUCUGUAUGUCUGUUUAAUGCUUUAUUAAGAUACUUGGCUCUGUUCAGUUCAAAGCAUAAUUUAUUUCCGUCUAGUUAUAGUUUGAUAAAAGUUAUAGAAACAGAUAUAACCCUCCUUAAGCCACUAGGUUUGGUCUAGUGGUGAGAGAUUUGGGUCGUAUGCUAGAAGACGUAGGUUCGAUCCUCAACUUCAUCGUAAACCAAAGAUAGAACCCUCCUUGGCAUAUAUUUAUAGACUUGCUGAAAUUAGAUAAAUUCAAAAUUAAAGACGUGCUGAAAAUCAAAUUUAUUGAUCAAUACAAACAAAAAUGUUUCUUAAAGAGCUGUAAGGCUUAACUAAACAUAAAGCUCGAUAAGUGAUCUAAAACCGAAUAUGGGAAAUAUUUUAUAGUGUGUGAACCCUGCUUUUGUGAAGAUUUGUUUCCAGUUUUUUCCAUCUCUUUCUCUUCCAUUAAAACUAGCCAUCAUAACUAUGUCAAAGAAGAGCUUGACUUCUGUCAUUUCAUGCUUAUCUUGCUUUUCAUUU